UGGUUCCUGAAAUCCGGCAAGAAGCCGUCUCCAUCUCUUUAAAAUACCGCCGCCGUUGGUAAAAAAAAAUCAGCAAGAACUAACAUGGCCCACCGACCACCUCUUGCUGGAGUUACCAUGAACUGCUGCUGCUUCUAUCCGUCUCUCUGAAAUUGCAGCCGUCGUGUCGCCUUUGAUGGAAAUCUGGCGAUUCCAACCUCCAACACUACCGCACCUCCAUCUCCCGCCAUUAGUAGCAGCGGUCUCCGCUCUCACUGCCGCUUCUCUCCACGCUCGAUGCGAUCAAAGCAACUCACUCCACCAUGUUAGUCACCCAAACCACGAGCUUGUGCUUUGUUGUAUCCGCCAGAUUCUGCGCUUUUCUCGUAGAGGACAAUAGCUGUGGAGUUAAGAAAGUAGCCACUGAGUUUGGGAAGAACAAUACAAGAAAUGGAGCUGCUAAAAUCGGCUCUGGGCAUUUGAACUAAAAUUUGGAACUAAAUAUACUCAGCAAAAGAAGGGAUACACGAAAGAGAUUGAGGCAGCUACUCCAAAGUGCAGCUCAAAUGGGCAAUGCGAAGACAAAAUGUAGGCAUGCGAAGCAGUUGAAAGGAGCACGCUAUACACAAUUUAAAAGCUCGAAAACAAUAUAAGAGAAACUACAAAGGAGUUUUACCUUGAUGAAGCACGGUCACGUCGCUGCCGACAUUGUUCCUUCGCCGACCCAAAGCUUACGCCUUUCCAUCACCAACACCGUAGCAGCUCCGAGCUCGAACCUCUACUCCGUUACGGUAGUAACUUCGCCGGAAAAGAGCUGAACAUCAAAUAAAAGCAAGGCAUUGUAAGUUCGUCGCCGACGACAUUCCGGCGUUGAAGCUAAAACAAACAAAAAGAGAAAGAGUGAAGUGACAUAGUUCUAUCUCUAAAAUAUAUAUGGAGAAGAUAAUCUACUGCAAGGUUAAGAGAAGAUCAAGGUGGAGAGAAGAAAUCGGAAAGAAAGAAGAGGAAAUUUCCUACUGUUAGUAGCGGAAAUGUGAACGGCUACUGAAAUCUACUACUAAGGGAAUUGGUGAAUGAGGAAGAGUGGCAACAUUGUCUCUAUUU
rnacentral:lncRNA from 1 species